GCCUCAAGGGGUUUAGAUUUGCCAAGAGUGCGUUGGAUUGUACAGUUUAAUGCUGCGUGCACAGCUGCAGAUUAUGUCCACAGAGUAGGGCGUACAGCACGUGUUAACUCAGCAGGAUCAGCUGUAGCGUUCUUGGCACCCUCAGAAGCACCAUACAUUCAGAUGCUGGAGAAACACAAGAUUAUAUUACAAGAAAUUAGAAUGAAGGAGGUACUCAGAAGCUUUAGACUUGCAUGUGAUGAUUAUACAAGUGAAGAACAGCCUAGUAUGAGAUCAGUGGAAGAAGUGGCCACCAACUUCCAGCUCAGCGUUGAAAAUGAACUCGUGAAGGACAGAAAUAUGCAUGACUUGUCACGCAAAGGUUCGUUU
rnacentral:lncRNA from 1 species